UUGUCAUUCCUUUAUAUGCUGGCAGUAUUUAUAUUGUAGAUUCAUUAAACAUGUUUAUUCCUUAAAGUAACUAAAAUAAAAUCAAUCAGUUUUAUUCUUAAAGGUAAUAAAAAGCUCAUCAAAAACACUGACAACAUGUUCUGCUGUGACUGUGUGAGUCAGGAAACAGUGUUCAACAUUUAACCCUGCGGUUUCAAGAAACUCCUCCUUCUCAUUCUGAUCUACAGUCAGUUCCCCAGCACAAUAAUCACGUGAUAAAACCAGCAGGCUGUUCACCAUUAGUUGGUGCUGUUGUUGCUUCCUUGUCUCUCCACGUACUUUCAGCACAUGGUGUUUUUAUUAUAUAUGAAACUGUUGUUUCAUUUUUAUUUGUGGAUUCACACAAACACAUUUAAUCAAACUUCAUCUGAUGAUUGUUUUACUGAGUAACCAUCAAAGAUGUUGGAUUGAACUCUCAAUGUCCUCUUCAGCUCCAUGUUUCCUGCUGAUGGUGCAGAGUUUAACCUCUGGUGUCAUCAUAUAAAAGAUAUACAUCACUAUGUAUGUGUUUAUGACUCUUCACCGCUGUCUCCUCUCACAGGGAGAAGAUGAUCUGCUGGAUCCUGCUUCUCAUCAACCUGACCUCCUGUGUCUGUGGUUAGUUUCCACCUUCACUUUAUUAUCCAUGAAGAGAAAAGUCCAAAUACACUUUCAGACUUCCAUCUUUCAAUCUGUAAGGAGGAAGGCCUCUACAGCACUGAGAGCAUCACUAAACUGUCCACAGAAACAUCUCUAGAUGGAGUUUAAAGGCUCACAUGUUAAAGUUGUCACUUUGUCUGGUCCUCACUUUCCCUCUCUGUCUCCUCAACAGGAACAUUUGUAGUGAAUGUGACACAGACCUCCUAUCAGGCAGAGGAGAACAAUAACAUCACACUGGAAUGGACGUUCACAACCAACACUCACAGUUCCCUCAACUUCCUUUUUAUCUACAGUGAACUGAUUACUGAUCACAAGGUUUCAGUCCUCUAUAAUCUAAGGGAUGGUGUCGAGGUCUCAGAGUCUCAGGAUGAUCAGUUUAAAGGACGAGUCCAGUGUGACAAAGACGUCCUCAGAGAAGGACGAAUCAGACUUCAUGUGUCCAGACUCAGGACAGAAGACUCGGGUCGGUACCGGUGUAAAGUGAAAACAACUUAUGGUGACAACGUUGGUGAAUGUCGACUCAAUGUCACUGCAGCUGCUGAUGAGCCCAAACCUCAGAGACCAACAGAGAGUCCACAAGCAGAGAGUCCACAAGCAGAGAGUCCACAACCAGAGAGUCCACAACCAGAGAGUCCACAACCAGAGAGUCCACAACCAGAGAGUCCGGGAAUGAUAAUCCUCUAUGUUGUACUGGGACUGGCAGCAGCAGCAGCAGUCUGUUGUUGUUACUUUAGACGAAACAAGAAACAACCCAAUAGGUAUAAUGUUGAGAAAGGAAACGUCUAUGCAGUUGUAUAAAUGUUGAGUUUUAAGUGUCCGGAAACCAUUUGUAAUAUGAAAUGUAUAUUUUUCUGUUAAAUGGUGUUCAUGUUACUACAGGUUUAAGUUUAAAUGAAGUUAUGUAAUAAUGUAAUGUCAUAAAUGAAGUAAUGUUAAUGAUGCUUCCACUGUGAUCCCAGAUGUUCCAUGUUUGAUGUCAGACAGUUAACAUCAGAAGUAGAGCAAAGACAUCUAAACAGCCAUCGUCUGAUUGAUCCUCCACUGUAAGCUCUCUACAAUGUCCCAGUUGUUUGAGUUGUCAGUGUAUGAAGAGUUUCUCAGAGGAAUCAUUCACAUUGAGCUGUAAGUUGGUUCAGUCAUUGAUCGCUCUGUUCUCCCUCCAGCUGUUAUCAAUCAUCAGUCUUAAACAACGAGUCUGAAUCAACAAGAAAACAGCAUUAGAAGAGAAUUGUUCAUUAUUAUAUCUUAAUCCUCCUGAUGGAUAUUGUUACAAUGCACUGACUUUGUGCUCUUUAUAAUGUGUACAUAUUGUAAAUAAAUCUCUCUUUAUAUGAGAGAAGUUGUUAUCAAUCUUCUGUGUGUAAAUCUUUUAAUAUCAGACACCCAGAAGCUGUGAAUAUGUUCAAUAAAGUGCACACAGUGCAGAUCUCAGAUCUGUCUAAUAAGUGAUAGAGUUUGAUGAGGCGUCCUAUCAAAAUAAAGGACAGCGUAAAGGUGAACAACAGUGCAUUAUUUGUGUGUAUCAGUUGUGUACUUUGACUCUUAUACCAUGGCCACUUACUGAAGAAUAUAAAGGCAGGAUGGGUUUGAAUCUUUAGCAGCUUUUAACAUCAGAUAUUGUUGCUGGUUAAGGGAAGACAGACAGGAGACACAAUGGUGGUUUGUCUUUAUUUCACUUUCAUUUUGACGUUCAACAAAAUGGAUUCAGCCCCUCCUCCAGUCAGGAGUUGGGCUGGUGACAUCAUAAACCAGUUUUUCCUCAUACUCAUUAGUGUUGUGUUCCUUCUUGCUCGCCUACAAACGCGCAAGUAACUAAAACCUUCUGUAUGUUUGAAGUUUGUGUUUCAUAUUCUGUUCUUUAUUGAACUACUUUCAUCUUCAGCUGGAA
rnacentral:lncRNA from 15 species